CUGCAACUGUGGCAAGACCGUGUGUCCUGUCAGAGUGGGUGACCAGGGCCUUUGCCAGCAGACGACUUAUGGAGAAACGUUUGAGUAGAUGGAGGAACCCAUUUCCUCUGGAAUCCAGAGUGCUGAUAAAGACAUACCUGAGACUGUGCAAUUUACAGAAAGAAGGUUUAAUGGACUCACAGUUCCAUGUGGCUGGGGAGGCCUCACAAUCACCGUGGAAGGCAAGGAGCAAGUCACUUCUUAAGCUCUUUGCAUGGCACCAUCGAUGUGAGCUAGGAAACUCUUCCUUAUGAAACCAUCACAUUCACUGUCAGAAGAACAGCACAGGAAAGACUCGCCCCUGUGAUUCAAUUAUCUCCCAAUGGGUCCCUCCCAUGAUACAUGGGAAUUCAAGAUGACACAUGGUUUGGCUGUGUCCCCACCCAAGGAUAAUACAGGUGGAACAUAAAUGCCAGAUUGAUCUAUUGAUAAUUAUAAACAAUUACCAAGAAGAGUGGAUAAAUCUUCCUUUUUGAAUCCA
rnacentral:lncRNA from 1 species